AAGCCACAUUCUGUGGCAGAUGAUCAAAACUGUCACACCAUUUGAGCUUGCUCUAGCAACAGAGUUUAGUCCCGUCCGAUGCUCUCUGCUCCACGAGACAAGCUGUUCUAUAGAUCAGACAGU